rnacentral:rRNA from 1 species
UACGUAGGGUGCGAGCGUUGUCCGGAAUUACUGGGCGUAAAGGGCGCGUAGGUGGUUAUUUAAGUGAGAUGUGAAAGCCCCGGGCUCAACCUGGGAACUGCAUCUUAUACUGGGUAACUGGAGUACAUGAGAGGGUAGUGGAAUUUCCGGUGUAGCGGUGAAAUGCGUAGAUAUCAGGAGGAACACCUGUGGUGUAGACAGCUUACUGGACCAUUUCUGACGCUGAGACACGAAAGCGUGGGUAGCAAACAGG